rnacentral:misc_RNA from 1 species
GAGGGAGCAAUAAUGGGGCCAUUGAUAACCACUGUUGUGAUUGGUCUCAAGGAUUUGUAUGCUGAAUUUGUUCUGGACGAACAUGAGAAAAAUGAUUAGCAAAAUGAAGUCUGAAACUCUGCCAGUUCCACCUUCCAAUUCUGUUGCUUUCAACCUGUGAACUGAUUGCUGUACAUUAGUUUGAGCCACUUUCAGCAGAGGCACAUGGCUCGGCCAUUCUCUUCCCACACCAUUUUUUUUUUU